AGAGUUUGAUCCUGGCUCAGGACGAACGCUGGCGGCAUGCUUCAUACAUGCAAGUCGCACGAGCUUCCGUUGAAUGACGUGCUUGCACUGAUUUUAACAAUGAAGCGAGUGGCGAACUGGUGAGUAACACGUGGGAAAUCUGCCCAGAAGCAGGGGAUAACACUUGGAAACAGGUGCUAAUACCGUAUAACAACAAAAUCCGCAUGGAUUUUGUUUGAAAGGUGGCUUCGGCUAUCACUUCUGGAUGAUCCCGCGGCGUAUUAGUUAGUUGGUGAGGUAGAGGCCCACCAAGACGAUGAUACGUAGCCGACCUGAGAGGGUAAUCGGCCACAUUGGGACUGAGACACGGCCCAAACUCCUACGGGAGGCAGCAGUAGGGAAUCUUCCACAAUGGACGAAAGUCUGAUGGAGCAAUGCCGCGUGAGUGAAGAAGGGUUUCGGCUCGUAAAACUCUGUUGUUAAAGAAGAACACCUUUGAGAGUAACUGUUCAAGGGUUGACGGUAUUUAACCAGAAAGCCACGGCUAACUACGUGCCAGCAGCCGCGGUAAUACGUAGGUGGCAAGCGUUGUCCGGACUUAUUGGGCGUAAAGCGAGCGCAGGCGGUUUUUUAAGUCUGAUGUGAAAGCCUUCGGCUUAACCGGAGAAGUGCAUCGGAAACUGGGAGACUUGAGUGCAGAAGAGGACAGUGGAACUCCAUGUGUAGCGGUGGAAUGCGUAGAUAUAUGGAAGAACACCAGUGGCGAAGGCGGCUGUCUAGUCUGUAACUGACGCUGAGGCUCGAAAGCAUGGGUAGCGAACAGGAUUAGAUACCCUGGUAGUCCAUGCCGUAAACGAUGAGUGCUAAGUGUUGGAGGG
rnacentral:rRNA from 1 species